rnacentral:rRNA from 1 species
UACGCAGGGUGCGAGCGUUGUCCGGAAUUAUUGGGCGUAAAGGGCUCGUAGGCGGUCUGUCGCGUCGGUAGUGAAAACUCAGGGCUUAACCCUGAGCCUGCUUCCGAUACGGGCAGACUAGAGGUAUGCAGGGGAGAAUGGAAUUCCUGGUGUAGCGGUGAAAUGCGCAGAUAUCAGGAGGAACACCGGUGGCGAAGGCGGUUCUCUGGGCAUUACCUGACGCUGAGGAGCGAAAGUGUGGGGAGCGAACAGG